AGCGCACAGCUCUGCAUCCAAUGCCUCCCCAGCCCUUUCAUUUCUGUAGAAUAAUGAACCUACAGAAGAUUCCGAGUUUUCCCUCUGGUUUAACGACCCUAGCCCUGCCUGUUGCUGGCGUGCCCCAUCCCUGCAGCUAGCCAGAGAAAUAAUGAUAAUUUACGCCCAGCUCGCGCCGGCUUUUCCCGGCGUUUCUGCGAGCAAUCCAGAGGCGACAGGAGCAAAUUGAUGGAGACAGGACUGGGAGAAUCCCACCCUGUCAGAAGAUGAAUGAGCUGAGCUUGCAUGAUGUGAACCAUGGCUGACAGAAGCGAGGGGGAAUCAAAGAGUGAGCAACUUUUGACAACGCACGCUUCACAGCCCUGACCACUGAGGAUCUACAUGAUUAUCUCCAGACAAAAUAACUGCUACAGCAAAGACACACGUUCCAAGCAGCCAGCCCAAGGUUAGCAAGCACUGAGUGAGCACAGCCCCUCAGAACCACAGACCUUCACCUUGAUGCCUCCCAGGUCCUCGGGCUGAUACUUUGAUGGGAUGGAGGCUCAAGUUCAAAUGGACAUUCUGGCCUUUCUGUAGCUAAUAAUGGAAAACAAAGCCCUUUUCUCAGCUAUCUCAGCUCUCAACUCGACCCUGCCCUCAGUGUAGACACUAAUCAGCUCAGAGAAUCUCUGUUCUUUUAUUUAUAUAAAAUUUCAGGGGGAAAAAAAAAUCUCAUCCAGGAACAAAUUGUGUUUCCCAAAUUACACUCCUGGCCUUCAGACUUGGCAUGGGACUAACUCUUCCAUUUUUGGGGGAUCUUAAUCAGUUCUUCCUCUACUUCUGUCUGCUGAAACAAGACUUCUAAGAAAGAGAAUAAGAUGUAAAUCUACUGCCAUCAACUUUGUGUUAUUUCAAAGCUCUAAGAAGAAAACCACCUGGUAUUUUUCUUCAGCCCCUCUAUAUGCAUAUGCAAAUCCAACAGCUUCAGGAUCUGCCAAACUAUUUACCAAGUUUGUCAGGGAAACAGCCUCCGAAACAAUCUUCUUUCAAAAUAAUUUUCUGUGAUUCUAAAUUCUUCCUCUGAACGCUAUUUUUGUCUCUGAAAGCAUAUUCACCCUUGCAGUCUGACUGCUUGUUAAGGAAAAAACAACAAGAAAAACACUGAAAUCUCACUGUUGGCCUAUGUUCUACUGCCAGUGUUCAAACAUCAGGAUCCCAACAGUAUCCCAGCGCCUGAAAAACAUCUCCCUCUCUUUGAAAUCUGCCUGGGUUGUGGAUGAGAAAUUGCCAGUAGAAAUUACAACAUUUGCCAUGACUGAGAUGGGGUGGGUUUUUGCAUUUGGAUUGAAUGAAACCAUGGAAAAUGUUGUUAGUAACAACUCCAGUGUUAUAAAAAAUCACCAAGUGACAGAUUUCGAGAUUAAAAGGAAAUAUUAAAAAUCCCCUUCAAUAUUUAAAGCUUACUUAACUAGUAGCACUUCACUUGACACUGACUCAUGUCAUUUUCUUUCAUUCCUCUUUUGAUCCAUGCAAAGCAGUUACACGAUUGCAAAUAUCUUAUCAUGUCACCUUCUCAUAUGGAUAUGAGAUGAAAGAAUAUUAUCUCAAGCUGAGUGAUAAGUCCUGUACCAAAACUACGGGUGGAAUCUGCACAAUCUGAUGCUAAAUGGGAGCAGGGGGAGCACUGGGCAUUUUUUUUUUUCCCUGAUAUUCUCUGUUGAGGAUAGUUGAGAGAAAGGGUCUUAUUUUAAUAGGUUAUUCAAGGCUCCUAAUUAACCAUUGAGAUUUUACACCAGGUUAGCUGAGCUUCUUGUCAAGGCACAGGGAUCACUCAAAUUGCUUUUAUUUGCAUGAUUACGAAGUGGCAAACCAUCAAUACUCCUUCACCUCUGAUUUUAAACAUGCAAAGGGCAUCAAAAGGCCUAUUAACAUGAAAUAAAAUUAGCCCUCAUCUGUUUUAUUUUAAAGGGACUCUUCCCUCCCCCUUUUUCUCCCCCUCCUCCUCCUUCCUUUCUUAUUUAGGGAACUGGGUUCCUUUCCCAUACUUGGUAUGUAGUACAUCUUUUUUUCUCAGAGUUAAUUCUCCAAGUCUGGUCUGUCAGCCAGUAUAAACAACACUUGAUGAAUGAGACUCAAGGUGUUUAGUCACCUGAAGCAGCUGUUUGAAGUAACUCUACACACAGCCUGAGGCCCGUGUUUUCACAGCUGUGGGAACUCUUCAAAAGCUUUUCCUCUUGGCCUGCUCCUUUGCUGUGGCUUUAGACUCUUAGCGCAAAAUCUGGACAAUUUCAAAAGGGCACAAUGAAACUAGAGACAGCAAUUUUUGAUGAUUUUGGGCCAAAAAAAGGGCCUAGAAUAAAUAAAUGAAGUACAUUUGAAAGUGCUUUACCUAGGUGGGCUAUAUAUCUAAGAACUGCUCGCUCUACAUGUGCCCAUGUGCUCACUUAUAAAGGGGACAUGGGGGGGUUCAAGCCCCGCUCUCUGUUUACAACUAUUUUCACUUUCUCCUCUGAUGCGGCAGAUUAAAAACUAAAUGUUUAUGGGCCUGGAAAAGCGCAUACCUGAAAUAAACUCAGCAAGUUUCUCAAAGUUGGAAAGCUCUCCUAACUCAUAAACAGACCUGCAGUUGAUUGGUGAUCUGUGCUCGCCGCUGGGAAGCUUUGGAGAAUUGGCCUCGUGGAGGUCGUGUGAUUGCUUCUCCUGGCUCCGGGGCUGCGCCUUCAUGAUGUGCCUCACUGUGUCCGUGUAGGUAGCCAAAGAAGUGAUGGGCCCAAAUAAAAAAUAAUAAUAAACCAAAAAUUGAGCAAGAAUUGGCGCUGAGCUGGCAGGGAAAUCGCAGUUUUGUGAACUCAGGACCCGAUCGCGCAGCUGGGCUGAAAUAUUAUAUGCGGAAUGAGGUCAUGGACCAGAAAAUGGAUUUUAUUUGGAGGUGGGAGUGGACUGCAAGCCUCAAAGAGUGGUGAUGAAUCCGCUGGAAAAUCCUGAGGGCUAAAUGGCCGGGUUGUACCUCCCCUGGAUGGACACAUAGAUCUUCAUGGGUUCAGGCAGGUAUUGCUCAGCUCCAUGAGUAACAGUGGGGCCACCACACCAGCACCACAAGGUGAGCAGCGAGCAUCCCAUGGGAAAUGGACAUGGAAAAUAACUCCAGCAGAGCACUGACGUGAGCCCCAGGAAGGGAUGUGAGUCGACAGAUUUUAUCGGGGAGGUUGUGUCAGGUGGAUGCUUAACCCACUGAAUAACGCUUUCCACUCCUGAGCUCACCCAAACAAGGAAACACGGAUACAUCCAACCUCAGCUCUCAAACGUGUCCAACAAAAGGCAUCAGGAAGCUCGCCAGGAAGAGUGAGGAUGGGACAAACUACUCCUGAGACAGUAGAACAAACAUGCUCCAGCCGUAGCUGUUUUAGCACCACAUGCCUCCCACACAUUGCUCCAUAAAUCCUUCUUUUCUUGCCUCUCAUUUUCUCCAGUUUACAAAAAUUCUCAUGUUAACAGAAAACGUUUAGUUUAAAUUGAUCCUCAGCCAUCCUUGGCAUGUAUUACACACGCUCACUCUUUUAUGUUUUAUAGCUUAUGUCAUCCUGUAUUCAUCAUUUAGUGAAGGCCUUAUAUUUUUGGCUUGCCGUUGCCCCUUAUCAGAUGAUAAAAUGUUCCCUCAGGAGGGAGAGAAUUUUUAUGAAUUAUGACGAUAGUAUAGAAAAUAAAUUACUUAUUGGCACUACAGUCAGACUAUACAUGGAAAUGUGUUCUUCGAAAGUUUAGAGAAUCAGAGUAUCACAGAAUCCUGGAAUGGCUUGGCUUGGAAAGGACCUCAAGGACCACCAAGUUCCAAUCUCCUGCCGUGGUCUACAUGAGAAAGGUGAGCGUGCCAACACUGUCACUACUCCCAGGGAAGGGAAUUCCCUGAGGUGAGAGUGGCCAUGGGGUGACAAGGAUGGUGUUUCUGCCAGGUCACUGGUUUAGGAUGAGCCCUGGGGACGAGCUCUCCUGGGGUCUCAGCACAAAACUGCCAGUUCCCUCAUGAUUUUCAGUUUUCUGCAUCAGAGGUGAUGGAGUUUCCAGCUACUUUGAGAAUAGCGAGGCAUAAACAUUUACAAAAUAGAUAAUGAGAAUUUGAACAAAAAUAAGACUUUAAAAUAUAUUCUAUGGCAUUGCCCACACCUGGAUGCCCACAGAUCCCUGUGUUUUUUUAUGAUAUGAAGGUUAGAUGGUCCAAACUACAUCCUGGUCAUUGAGUUCACCCUUCUAAUUUGCUCCCACCCCAUCCUCACUCCUGACCUACCCCGAGAGGUUUCGAACAGCCAGCACCAAAGCACAUCUUGUACUACCAGAGACACAGCUGGGCUGGUCCCUUCUCUGCAAAAACAUGACAUAAAUUCUGACACUGGUCACCAUACAUGUCAACAGAGUCAAACUUUGCUAAUGAACCACUGCAAAAUUCCAAAUAAAUAGACAAACCCGCAGCUGAGCAGCAUAUUGUAACUCUUCCCACCAUGCACACAUAACAAUUAUCCUCAGAGAGGCUUGCUGUCCUUCUCAUCAGCAGCAAAUUAAAGAAGAAGAAAAGUUUUAGGUAGUUGAAGAUGUUUGGUUAAUCUUAACUAGAAAAGCAUUUACACUGCCAGAGCCUGGAACUACAAAGAACAGCCCACGAGCAGCCAGGGGAGUGUUCUCCUCAGGCAGGUACUCCAAGACAGAAAAUGGCUUAAUUUAACUUUUUAGGUAAAUUCUGUUCAGAUGAGUGAGGAUUCCCCGGCAGCAUCUGUGCAAGGCCACUCACUUCUACUCAUCUCCCAGUUAGAACCAGUUCUGCCUUUUGAUUUUGCUCUUUGAAAAGCAGUUUCUCAACCCUGGCCUAAUAAACAACCAGUGACUCCCAACGCAGAUUCGGGGUUUUGUCAGAGCCAUGGGGCUCUCAGGGGGACAUUCCUGGACAGCACCACAGCCAAGGAGGAUGCCACCUUCACCAUAUGGACUUCUCUUGACCAUGAUCUCUGAGUCCCUUGGCCAGCCAGCCCAAGGGCUGAGCCACCUUUUGAGUUGGAAUAGCUUUUAAGGGAUAUAGAGCUCCAAGGCUUAUUUUUUUCAAGGGAAGCUAAAUAUUUCAUACAAGCUGAACAGCAGAACCCUAAGCCCCAUAUGAACAGUAAGGUAAACAUUCCCUGGAGCAUUUUAUGAGUUCCUUCUCACCACAAAUGGCAGCAUUUUGCAACGCCAUCUAAGUGAAAUACAUUCAACAGGUCACCUAUGCAGCGUGAUGACUCUGGGAUCCAUUUGCUGUGACAGAGCUGUGCCCUUCCAACCUCGUCAGCUGGAUCAUUUUUGAGGUGAUUUUAUAGAGUUUUUAGAUGAAAAGAAUGAAAUCUGGGAGGACUGGCUUUAAAGCAAUAAUAUACUUUUGUUAUGCAAUAUUAUACCUCCAUUAGCCAAUAUUCAAAAUAGUUGAAUGCAUAGGUAAUGGCAACUAUAUAUAGAAAUGGUAUUUUGUCUUUAAAGAAGUGAAACCCAUUAAACUUUAUGUGAUGAGAUGUUAAAGUAAGAAUUGUUAAGAGAACCUUACUCCACAUAUGCAUGUAAAUGGCUUUAUGGGGAUAUCCUGUUGGAGAUGAUGGGUUCCUUAUGAGCAACAGCUCCUGAGCAAAAGGUUCCCUAUCCUGUAAACACAAAAAUGUGAGACACAGCUGGGAAGUUUGCCUACAGGCAAGGUUUCAGGUGAGUAAAAGGAGCAGCCAAAGUUUGAGGAAGAGAAUUCAGGAAG